rnacentral:rRNA from 1 species
UACGUAGGGUGCGAGCGUUAAUCGGAAUUACUGGGCGUAAAGCGUGCGCAGGCGGUUUUGUAAGCCAGAUGUGAAAUCCCCGGGCUUAACCUGGGAAUGGCAUUUGGGACUGCAAGGCUGGAGUGUGGCAGAGGAGACUGGAAUUCCCGGUGUAGCAGUGAAAUGCGUAGAUAUCGGGAGGAAUACCGAUGGCGAAGGCAGGUCUCUGGGCUGACACUGACGCUCAUGCACGAAAGCUAGGGGAGCAAACGGG